GAUGAACGCUGGCGGCGUGCCUAAUACAUGCAAGUCGAGCGAACGGACGAGAAGCUUGCUUCUCUGAUGUUAGCGGCGGACGGGUGAGUAACACGUGGAUAACCUACAUAUAAGACUGGGAUAACUACGGGAAACCGGAGCUAAUACCGGAUAAUAUUUUGAACCGUAUGGUUCAAAAGAGAAAGACGGUUUUGAUGUUACUUAUUGAUGGAUCCGCGCUGCAUUAGCUAGUUGGUAAGGUAACGGCUUACCAAGGCAACGAUGCAUAGCCGACCUGAGAGGGUGAUCGGCCACACUGGAACUGAGACACGGUCCAGACUCCUACGGGAGGCAGCAGUAGGGAAUCUUCCGCAAUGGGCGAAAGCCUGACGGAGCAACGCCGCGUGAGUGAUGAAGGUCUUCGGAUCGUAAAACUCUGUUAUUAGGGAAGAACAUAUGUGUAAGUAACUGUACACAUCUUGACGGUACCUAAUCAGAAAGCCACGGCUAACUACGUG
rnacentral:rRNA from 1 species